GGGCGGGUAGCUCAGCCGGGAGAGCAUCGGCCUUACAAGCCGGGGGUCACAGGUUCAAGCCCUGUUCCGCCCACCA
rnacentral:tRNA from 1 species